UUCUACGGGACGCAGCAGUGGGGAAUAUUGCACAAUGGGGGGAACCCUGAUGCAGCGAUGCCGCGUGGAGGAAGAAGGUUUUCUGAUUGUAAACUCCUUUUCUCAGGGACGAUAAUGACGGUACCUGAAGAAAAAGCUCCGGCUAACUACGUGCCAGCAGCCGCGGUAAUACGUAGGGAGCGAGCGUUGUCCGGUAUUACUGGGUGUAAAGGGAGCGUAGACGGCAGUGCAAGUCUGAAGUGAAAGCCCCGGGCUUAACCCGGGAAUUGCUUUGGAAACUGUACGGCUGGAGUGCUGGAGAGGUA
rnacentral:rRNA from 1 species